CCUACGGGGGGCAGCAGUGGGGGAUAUUGCACAAUGGGGGAAACCCUGAUGCAGCGACGCCGCGUGUGGGAAGACGGUCUUCUGGAUUGUAAACCACUGUCCCCAGGGACGAAAAUGACGGUACCUGGGGAGGAAGCUCCGGCUAACUACGUGCCAGCAGCCGCGGUAAUACGUAGGGAGCAAGCGUUGUCCGGAAGUACUGGGUGAAAAGGGAGCGUAGGCGGGGAUGCAAGUUGGGUGUCAAAACUACCGGCUCAACCGAUAGUCGCACUCAAAACUGCAACUCUUGAGUGAAGUAGAGGCAGGCGGAAUUCCUAGUGUAGCGGUGAAAUGCGUAGAUAUUAGGAGGAACACCAGUGGCGAAGGCGGCCUGCUGGGCUUUUACUGACGCUGAGGCUCGAAAGUGUGGGGAGCAAACAGGAUUAGAUACCCUAGUAGUC
rnacentral:rRNA from 1 species